UAAAUGUGUCUAAGAUGUGUGCAUUGUAUCAGACUUCCGGAAGACAGUCGUCGCUGAGAGCUGAAUUUGCGCUACUUUGCUCACACAUCGACUUGCUACGCACUACACUUUCAGAGAACAAUGAGGGCACCGCAGAUGCUGCUUCUGGCUGCAGUUUUUCUGCUGCUCCACCAAGGCACCCAGGCCGCAUCACUGGGUAGGCAGCGCCCGGGUUACCAGGGAUACAAUCCAGGGGCAGCCGCCAACCCGCUGUACACCCAACAACAAGGUGGCGGGUAUAACGUGGGGCAGGACCCGUCUCUCAUCCGCCCGCCGGGCUCCUACGGCUCCCAUGGCAACGGUAUAGGGGCUGUGCCCUACACCACUCGACCUCGGCAGGUUCGACCAUCCCGCACAAUCCAGCACACAUCCAAUCAAUAAAUUUUUAGACCUGUUUCCCAUCUGAGAAACCUGUCUCCAUGGUACUAAAAACGUCUGUAACCUUUCACAUAAAUAGUUCGUAUAUUAAUAAGUAUCUCUGCGUAAGCGUACCGAAAAACUUUGUUUCUGUUACUCGAAUAACAAUGUGUGAUCUCACAAAUAAUAUGAAGAUUUAUCGUGUUAUCCAAUAAUUUGUUUACUUUCAUCAAAGGUUUUGUUGUCGUUACAAAAAUGAAGCUGGAUGCACAGUAUUAUUUUAAAUAAAGUUAUUUCAGGCUGAUGUUUAAAUUGUAGAAAGAGGUACUUUUUUUAAGUUCAGAUGUUGUAUAUACAUUUACUUAGAUAUAGCGUAACUUUCAGUAUGUGUGUAAGUGCAGUAUUCAUUUCUCGUAUCUGUAGUGCUAAAGUCCUGGCAACCACAUUCAUUGUUUUCAAGUAAUGGGUGAAAUCUUUUGUAUUAUUGACUCAUUAUAAAUAACUAAUUUUUAUCUUUGUUUACAAACUGUAAUUCUCUCAUAUAUAACUUUUGUAUUCUAUGUUUACAUUUGAUGAUGAUGAUCCUUUCCCUGUACUGUGGACGUGUAAUCCAGGAAGAGUUACUUGCAAAUGAAUGAAUACAAAUAUUUUUAGAAAUUAAUUAAGUUUUUGUAAAUAUACUUUUAUGUACAAUAAAACUUCUCGUAUUUUAAAUAUUUCGAGA